rnacentral:lncRNA from 12 species
CAGGGAUGUAAGGUUAAGGAAGAACAGAGGAUGGGGAGAUAAGUCAGGAUGAUCAGAUAUAGUCCAGAAGAAUCAUUUAAGACCACAAAUUUAGCAAAAUCACACCUCAAAAGCUGUUGCUACCACAGCAUUUUUUCAAUAACCCAGAGAAAUUAAUUAUAGUGGAUUGUCAUGAUAAAGACCAUGAAGAGUACGGAGCUUAAUAGAAAAAAAAAAUGAGAAUGAAAUAGCAGAAGCCUGGAAGAAGCCAAAAAGGACGGAUAGGAAGAAAGAAAGUAUCUGCAAAGGUCAAGUAAAGUAGAAUUGGAAUAAAACUUGGUGAUCUUAAUCA